rnacentral:rRNA from 1 species
GAUGAACGCUGGCGGCGUGCUUAACACAUGCAAGUCGAACGGGAUCCAUCGGGCUUUGCUUGGUGGUGAGAGUGGCGAACGGGUGAGUAAUGCGUGACCGACCUGCCCCAUGCUCCGGAAUAGCUCCUGGAAACAGGUGGUAAUGCCGGAUGUUCCACAUGAUCGCAUGUGAUUGUGGGAAAGAUUCUAUCGGCGUGGGAUGGGGUCGCGUCCUAUCAGCUUGUUGGUGAGGUAACGGCUCACCAAGGCUUCGACGGGUAGCCGGCCUGAGAGGGCGACCGGCCACAUUGGGACUGAGAUACGGCCCAGACUCCUACGGGAGGCAGCAGUGGGGAAUAUUGCACAAUGGGCGCAAGCCUGAUGGCAGCGACGCCGCGUGAGGGAUGGAGGCCUUCGGGUUGUAAACCUCUUUUGUUUGGGAGCAAGCCUUCGGGUGAGUGUACCUUUCGAAUAAGCGCCGGCUAACUACGUGCCAGCAGCCGCGGUAAUACGUAGGGCGCAAGCGUUAUCCGGAUUUAUUGGGCGUAAAGGGCUCGUAGGCGGCUCGUCGCGUCCGGUGUGAAAGUCCAUCGCUUAACGGUGGAUCUGCGCCGGGUACGGGCGGGCUGGAGUGCGGUUGGGGAGUCUGGAGUUCCCGGUGUUUCGGUGGAAUGUGUU